GCAUGUCUUGUGGUGGAAAGCUUUUGCGGUUGAGGAUGGGCCCGCGGCCUAUCAGCUUGUUGGUGGGGUAAUGGCCUACCAAGGCGACGACGGGUAGCCGACCUGAGAGGGUGAUCGGCCACACUGGGACUGAGACACGGCCCAGACUCCUACGGGAGGCAGCAGUGGGGAAUAUUGCACAAUGGGCGCAAGCCUGAUGCAGCGACGCCGCGUGAGGGAUGACGGCCUUCGGGUUGUAAACCUCUUUCACCAGGGACGAAGCGCGAGUGACGGUACCUGGAGAAGAAGCACCGGCCAACUACGUGCCAGCAGCCGCGGUAAUACGUAGGGUGCGAGCGUUGUCCGGAAUUACUGGGCGUAAAGAGCUCGUAGGCGGUUUGUCGCGUCGUCUGUGAAAUUCUGCAACUCAAUUGCAGGCGUGCAGGCGAUACGGGCAGACUUGAGUACUACAGGGGAGACUGGAAUUCCUGGUGUAGCGGUGAAAUGCGCAGAUAUCAGGAGGAACACCGGUGGCGAAGGCGGGUCUCUGGGUAGUAACUGACGCUGAGGAGCGAAAGCGUGGGUAGCGAACAGGAUUAGAUACCCUGGUAGUCCACGCCGUAAACGGUGGGUACUAGGUGUGGGUUCCUUUUCACGGGAUCCGUGCCGUAGCU
rnacentral:rRNA from 1 species